GCACAAGCGGUGGAGCAUGUGGCUUAAUUCGAUGCAACGCGAAGAACCUUACCUGGGUUUGACAUGCUAGUUAAAGCCGGUGAAAGCCGGUGUCCGUAAGGGGCUAGCACAGGUGCUGCAUGGCUGUCGUCAGCUCGUGCCGUGAGGUGUUGGCUUAAGUGCCGCAGCGAGCGCAACCCCUGCUCUUAGUUGCCAGCGGGUAAUGCCGGGGACUCUAAGAGGACUGCCGGGGACAACUCGGAGGAAGGUGGGGAUGACGUCAAGUCAGCAUGGCCCUUAUACCCAGGGCUGCACACAUGCUACAUUGCGCGUUACAGAGGGCUGCGAUCCCGCAAGGGGGAGCGAAUCCCAAAAAAGCGCGCCUGGUUCGGAUUGGGGUCUGCAACUCGACCCCAUGAAGUCGGAGUCGCUAGUAAUCGCAGAUCAGCAACGCUGCGGUGAAUACGUUCCCGGGC
rnacentral:rRNA from 1 species